rnacentral:rRNA from 1 species
GUCCACGCCGUAAACUAUGAGAGCUAGCCGUUGGCAAGUUUACUUGUCGGUGGCGCAGCUAACGCAUUAAGCUCUCCGCCUGGGGAGUACGGUCGCAAGAUUAAAACUCAAAGGAAUUGACGGGGGCCCCGCACAAGCGGUGGAGCAUGUGGUUUAAUUCGAAGCAACGCGCAGAACCUUACCAGCCCUUGACAUCCCGGUCGCGGUUUCCAGAGAUGGAUUCCUUCAGUUCGGCUGGACCGGUGACAGGUGCUGCAUGGCUGUCGU